rnacentral:lncRNA from 1 species
UAACACAGCCUCAACGGGCAGCAUGCAUCUGCUAUAGAGUGUUAGAAGGCCAGAACAAACCAGACCACAUAGCAUGCAAUAUCCUCAGUUUCAUAUUCUUUAAUGCAGACACCCACAAUUGACGAGUCUACAAGCACCGGUAUCUAUCCAAACCUUGGGAUCUUGAUCAAGUGCUACCAAAAGAAGACCCCUAACCUGAAAAGAUUAUAGCAUCAUAGAGAGUUGGAAAGAAUAAUUCAAACAGGCUCGCAGAUGCCAUAUUAUGCACUUGCUAUAAGAGUAUAGUAUCAUGUAUUUCUGUUUCUCAGUGCAUCACCUUUCAAGUCCCACAUUGGCUGUGCAGCACUAUCAAAGCACAUACAUUGGAUAUAAAAGCAAAGACAUGGCUGUGGAAGAAGCAUACCUUUCUCGGCCCCUAACCUGAAAAGAUUAUAGCAUCAUAGAGAGUUGGAAAGAAUAAUUCAAACAGGCUCGCAGAUGCCAUAUUAUGCACUUGCUAUAAGAGUAUAGUAUCAUGUAUUUCUGUUUCUCAGUGCAUCACCUUUCAAGUCCCACAUUGGCUGUGCAGCACUAUCAAAGCACAUACAUUGGAUAUAAAAGCAAAGACAUGGCUGUGGAAGAAGCAUACCUUUCUCGGCCUUUUGGCUA